rnacentral:rRNA from 1 species
UACGAAGGGUGCAAGCGUUAAUCGGAAUUACUGGGCGUAAAGGGUGCGUAGGCGGUUCGGUAAGUUUCGUGUGAAAUCUUCGGGCUCAACUCGAAGUCUGCACGAGAUACUGCCGGGCUUGAGUGUGGGAGAGGUGAGUGGAAUUUCCGGUGUAGCGGUGAAAUGCGUAGAUAUCAGGAGGAACACCGGUGGCGAAGGCGGGUCUCUGGGCAGUAACUGACGCUGAGGAGUGAAAGCGUGGGGAGCGAACAGG